rnacentral:miRNA from 1 species
UUAAACCCAACAAACGCUUAA